rnacentral:rRNA from 1 species
AUGCUCAUCCCGGCAGCUCUGGGAGGAGUCAUAAACAAGGACAAUGUUGAUGCCAUCAAAGCAAAGUACAUCAUCGAGGCUGCUAACCACCCAACAGACCCCGAGGCCAAAGAGAUUCUGGCAAAGAAGGGCGUGUUGAUCCUACCGGACAUCCUGGCCAACUCCGGCGGAGUGAUGGUGAGCUACUUCGAGUGGAUGCAGAACAUCUAG